CGCGAUCUCCGAGUCUCUCUCAAU
rnacentral:miRNA from 1 species